rnacentral:rRNA from 1 species
UGGGGAAUUUUUCGCAAUGGGGGGAAACCCUGACGAAGCAACGCCGCGUGGAGGAUGAAGGCCUUCGGGUCGUAAACUCCUGUCGACCGGGACGAACGCUAUUGGGCCCAAUACGCCCGAUAGUCGACUGUACCGGUGGAGGAAGCCACGGCUAACUCUGUGCCAGCAGCCGCGGUAAUACAGAGGUGGCAAGCGUUGUUCGGAAUUACUGGGCGUAAAGGGCGCGUAGGCGGUUUAGCAAGUCCCGUGUGAAAUCCCUCGGCUCAACUGAGGAACUGCACGGGAAACUGCUUGGCUUGAGUUCGGGAGAGGGAAGCGGAAUUCCGGGCGUAGCGGUGAAAUGCGUAGAUAUCCGGAGGAACACCGGUGGCGAAGGCGGGCUUCCUGGACCGACACUGACGCUGAGGCGCGAAAGCUAGGGGAGCAAACGGGAUUAGAUACCCCGGUAGUCCUAGCUGUAAACGAUGAGUGCUGGGUGUAGGGGUAGUUAACCCCCCUGUGCCGAAGCUAACGCA